GGAUGGGUGGAGGAAAUAAUAGUGUAUGGAGUUUGGCAAAGGUCUAACACAUAGAGAAGCUUUAAAAAUAGCAGUGAAUUUUGAGUCUUAAUCAACUGAAUUCUAUAAGCCUGUAAGACCAAGUUGACUUGUUAAUUGUCCUUCAAUCAAAAGGGUUUUCUAGGGUGUCUGCUUUGGGGGUGAGAAGAGCUUGUGUGGUGGUUUGAAUGUGCUUGGCCCAGGGAGUGGCACUACUAGGAGGUGUGGCCUUGUUGGAGGAAGUGCGUCACUGUGGGGGUGGGCUUUGAGACCCAUCUCCUAGCCACUCAGAAGCCAGUCUUUUGUCUGCCGUUGUAUCACGAUCUAAAGCUUUCAGCUCCUCCUCCAGCCCCUUGUCAUGGAUGCUGCCGUGAUGAUAAUGGACUGAGCCUCUGAACCUCCCACCCUUGAGACAGCCUUUUGUUUAUUGUGGCGAGCGGGAGAGCGUUUCUGCCCUGGACUGAAGCACACUACCGGGUUCAGUGAAAUAGUCAAGGAAACGGGUCUGCCUCUUUCAUUACGGUUGCCAUCGUGAUUUCACAGAGGGAAAGAUCCUGAGUGAAGAUGUCAGACUGCCUGCCCCUCUGCUGACAUGCUCUGCUACCUGCGUGACCUCCAGCACAUACAUGAACCUCAGCGUCAGUUUGGUCAUCUACAGGGUUAUCACAAAGCUGAGCACAGGGACAGGUACGAGCAGUUAUGAACUCUGACGGUAGAGGGCACUGGGGAGACAUUGCCGAAGAAAGAAAGGGCUCUGCUUUCUGGUUCUGGUAUGUUCUACGCCAGCUCAACUUCUUCUUCAGUGCCCAGCUCUUGCAACACCCACGGCUCUUCUGCCUCCUGGCUCUUUUGUUUCACCAGAUUAACGGGCACUUCCCCCAGUACCUUCAGAAAGACACUUCUCCAUGAAUAAUUUGGGAAUGCCAGGGACUGUAUAGCGACACCUCGCCGCAGCAACUCCUGUCAGUCAUAAAACACAAGGUGGCCGAUUUUUUUUCUUCCUCGAGUAUUCUGUCUCAACCCUAGGUGUUCUCCGUAUCUGAAUUAUUUAGAAUUAUCUCUACUCAUAUUUGGGCCAUAAAGCCAAAAGACAUGAUCCUAAAUAUCAUAAUCCAGAAUGUUGAAAUCAUGAAAGUUCAAUAUCCUUAAGUCUAAGAUAACAAAAAGAUUAAAAUUCUAAAAUUACACUUCUGGGGAAGAUUCAAAUUUAUUUUAAAAGACUUAGUUACAUUUUAAGAGGAGAUUUAUUUGAGAAAUGUAAAAAUACAAUAGACUAUUUUAUAGGCCACUUCUUUUUUAUUUUUUUUUUUUCUUUAGUGAAGUUUAUUUGAAUGGAAUGGCUUCCAGGCUAUGACCAGGCCUGGGAGUAGAGUGGGGGGUAUUAGGCAGAAAGAAUACAAUCAUGAAGGUCUAAGCAGGAUGUGGCCUUGAAGGACAGACAGGCUUUUUCCUGUAAAGAGGAACGAGGGAGAGAGGCCAGGCAAGAGCAGCUGUUCCAAACCCCAGGAGAGGGAUGGAAGGUGGGGGGCAGAGAAAUGUCUUUAGGGAACAGCCUUCAGGUCACCUACCUGAGAAAACUCCCCAAAUGAAAAAUCUGACUCUUUAUAUCCUGUUAGGAAAUUUAAUAUCACGUGACUUAGUUCAACACAGCAGGCAUGACCAAGCACAUGGAGGAGCCAGGACCAUAAAUCAUGAAAUGGGCCUUUAUAGGCCACUUCAUAUAUGAAACACACACACACACACACACACACACACACACACGUGGCAGGGGGAGCAUGCACAAUAACACACAAGCUUACUACAGAGAAUUCCAUGAUUAUAAUGGUUGUGAGCAGAUGAGCUGUAUUCAUACAUUGUUCAAAAUGCAAAGUUACAAGACAUGCAGAGUUUAGAAGAGCUGAAGCUCAGGGUCUUCCUCGGUUCCAUGACAUGUUCAAGUCCAGUCUGGACUAUCAACAUGGGGGUCGGGGAGCUGGGGAGGUUUCUCAAUGGUUAGGAGCACUGGCUGCUCUUCAGAGGAUCCAGCUUCAAUUCCUAGCAACCACAUGGCAGCUCCCAAGUGUGUAUAACACCAGUCCCAGUGAUCUGACACCCUCUUCUAACUUCACAGAUGUCACCGAUGUCACCCCCACAGAGACAUACAUACAGGCAAAAUAGUCAGACACAUAAAAUAAAUUAAAAAAAAAUGCAAGAGUGGAAGUGGUGGCACAGGCCUUUAAUCCCAGCACUUGGGAAGUUAAAGCAGGUAGAUCUUUAUGAGUUCAAGGCCAGCCUGGUCCUACUUGGGAAUCUCCAGGCCAGCCAGUGCUACACAGUGAGACCUCCAUCUCAUAAAACAAACAAAAAAUGCACAAUGGACAUAUAUAUCUCUUGGUUAAUAGUUUCGUGCAUUCAUCUUUAUAACUGUGGUUGGUGAGCGAUUUGCAUGUUUUGUAAGAUAAAUAAAACUCACUGGGGAGCAUGGAUAUCGCUCAGUAUUGGGUAGAGCACAUGCCUAACACAUGGCAGUGUUCAGUUCAAUCCCAGCACUACAAGAAAGCACGCACGCGCACACACACACACACAAUGGGUCGUAUCAGGAACACAUUGUUUAUGCAGUUACUCAAAGAGCCAAGAUCUUAAGAAACGUUAUCUUUCCCAAAUGGAGAUAUACAAAAGACAAUCUCUUUGUCUCAAAGAAAAUUUGACAUUUGAUUGUUUGUUUGUUUGUUUGUUUGUUUUAUUUUUGAGGCACAGUUUCUCUGUUAGCUCUACCUGUCCUGAAACUUGCCCUGAAGAGCAGGCUGGCCUGGAACUCAGAGAUCCGUCAGCCUCUACCUCUGGAGUGUUGGGGACUAAAGUCAUGAGCCACCAUGUCCCUACUGAGAUUUUAAGAUCUUUAUCACAUCAAAUCAACUAUAACAAUGUUUCUUCACAGAACUGGUUUUGCCAAAAAUGCAUCUAGAGGAUAGACAUGCUGAUGAGUAUCUUUAAUCCCAGCAGAGGCAAGUACAUCUCUGUGGGCUUAAGGCCAGCCUGGUUUACACAGUGAAUUCCAGGACAGCCAAGAUGACAUAGAAAGACCAUGUCUAAUUCACCCCGGAAUCCCAUUCCCCCCACCACCAAAAAAAAGUAAACAACAGGAAAAAAAAAAAAAAAGCAUCGAACUAGAGAGAUGACUCAGCAGUUAAGCGCACUGACUGUUCCUUCAGAGGUCCUGAGUUCAAUUCCCAGCAACCACAUGGUGGCUCACAAGCAUCUGUAAUGGGAUCUGAUGCCCUCUUCUGGUGUGUCUGAAGACAGCGACAGAGUACUCACAUAAAACAAAUAAAAUCUUUUUUUUAAUAAAAGCAUCUAAUAUCUGAGAAGACCUGGGGAGGAAAUAUAUAACAUGGUGAGGUGUAGAAAGUAAAGUUGAAGGUUUAACACUGUGUGGGAAGAGAGUAAAACAAGAAGUAAAGCUUACGCAUAUUAACAUAUUAAAAGUGUAUGGGCUGGAGAGCUGGCUCAGCCAUUAAAGGUCAGACUCACAACCAAAAAUAAAGUGUGUUUUGCGGGUGGGUUGUAGGCAAUCGCCUACAAGUAAGUCCAUAGCAGUGGGCAACUAUCAUUAAAUUUUAUAUAAGUCUUGAAUCAGCGAAUAUCUGCUUUUUUGCUUUUUUACUUUCUUUUUUUUUGGGGGGGGGUUCUCAGGAGGAAAAAAAUCUUCAGUCACCUUUUAGAUAGUACACAGUGGUUUUCCCCCCACACUUACUUAUUUUUGUGUGUGUGUACACGCACCAAUGUGCCUCCGAGGCCGAAAGCAGUCAUCGUAUUCCCCUGGGACUGGAGAACAGAUGACUGCGACCCACCACAAGGGCGCUGGGAACCAAAUAUCCAGUCCUCUGCAAGAGCGGCCAGGGCUCUACCGCUGAGCCACGCCUCCAGCCCCAGCCUGCUAGCUUUACUUUUUAUCCGUGAUUUGAUGUUCGCUGACGUAGCAUUCCCUCCCACUUUCUCCGUCUCCCACGUCGCAGCGCGCAUUAUUUUGAAUAUACAAAAGUCCGUUCUGCGGGUAUUCACGUACUGGCCACGCGUUUGACAGAAAAUGGCUGCGGACUAAACGGCAGCAGGUGAACAUCCUGUCGCUCCUCACCUCCGUAAUUGUGGGACCAGUUAACUUUUCUGGCUUCUUCACACAAGUGCAGUUGUGAAGUGUGUCAUGCCUCGCAGAGAGGAGCCAGAGGACAGCUUUCAGGAGUUGGUUCUUCCUUCUUGGUUCUUGUACUGGGAAGAACUGAGCUUCAGAUCAGACAGCCGGGUUGAAACUGGGAGCUCUUUGUCCUCAGAACAAAGGAUGAACCAGAGGGAUCCUCCUCUUGAGAUAAUGACAAGUGACAAUUCACACUCCUCACUGAAUUAACAGCGCUGCCUGCCAGCCGAUGGGCAGCUGCCGGCUCACUGGCAGACUUCCCCAUUGUCCCAACUGCUGUGUUCCUGCGUGGACCGAAUUCCACUCCACUUCCUCUGCUGUAGCUGCCCUGCAGGCUGCUGUAGCCUUCUCUUUGCCUCCCCUCCCCAAGCUAAACCAAUGGUUCUUCCUGAUUUUCAUCAUUUUGGGGUUCUCUGCAGGAUGUCCUAGCACAGUCACCUGCACUCAAAACGCCACUCUGUUCUCGACUUUCCGAACACCGCACUUUCUUAUUUAGUUUUCUGUCUUCUUGUGAGAGCAAAACGUUCAUGAUUCUGUGUUUCCCCAUGGUCUCCUUUGUCUUACUGUCAUCUUAUCCAAGUGCUCAGCCUACACAAGAACGUACCGAUCAUUCACUGUCCACUUCCUGACCUGGCCCUGCUUUGUCACAGUGAACAGAUAACCCAGGCGCUAGUGUCAUGGGGCUAAUAUUAUUCCCUAUUAGAUACGCAGACUAAAUAGCAACCAAAUAAAUGAGUCAUGAGACACGUGAUAUUUAAACAAAAUAAAAUGGGUAAAAUUUUAUAUGUA